UAGGGAAUAUUGGGCAAUGGAGGGAACUCUGACCCAGCCAUGCCGCGUGCAGGAUGAAGGCGUUAUGCGUUGUAAACUGCUUUUAUAUAGGAAGAAAUAGUCCUUGCGAGGAAAGUUGACGGUACUAUAUGAAUAAGCACCGGCUAACUCCGUGCCAGCAGCCGCGGUAAUACGGGGGGUGCAAGCGUUGUCCGGAUUUAUUGGGUUUAAAGGGUGCGUAGGCGGUUUAUUAAGUCAGUGGUGAAAGACGGUCGCUCAACGAUUGCAGUGCCAUUGAUACUGGUAGACUUGAGUAUGAUUGAGGUAGCUGGAAUGGAUAGUGUAGCGGUGAAAUGCAUAGAUAUUAUCCAGAACACCAAUUGCGUAGGCAAGUUACUAAGUCAUAACUGACGCUGAGGCACGAAAGUGUGGGUAUCAAACAGGAUUAGAUACCCCCGUAGUCCCUGAGCGGGCUGGCAAGGCGCAU
rnacentral:rRNA from 1 species